rnacentral:rRNA from 1 species
CACGGAGUUAGCCGAUGCUUAUUCGUAGGGUACAUUCACUACAGCACACGUGCUGUUCUUUAUCCCCCUACAAAAGAAGUUUACAAUCCAUAAGACAGUCAUCCUUCACGCGACUUGGCUGGUUCAGGCUCGCGCCCAUUGACCAAUAUUCCUCACUGCUGCCUCCCGUAGGAGUCUGGUCCGUGUCUCAGUACCAGUGUGGGGGUUCAACCUCUCAGUUCCCCUACCCAUCGUCGCCUUGGUGAGCCGUUACCUCACCAACUAGCUAAUGGGACGCAUGCCUAUCUCACAGCGAAAUUCAUUUCCUCUAGCCUGGAUGCCCAGACUGGAGUGUACGCGGUAUUAGUCCGUCUUUCGACGGGUUAUCCCCCUCUGUGAGGCAAGUUGCAUACGCGUUACGCACCCGUGCGCGGUCGCAUCAGUCUUAGCAGCUAGACCAUGCUGCCCCUGACUUGCAUGUGUUAAGCCUAUCGCUAGCGUUCA